AGCCAACUAACCAGCCCAGAUUGCUGGCCAAGCAGUCUGCGACCGACCAACCAACCAACCAGCCAGCCAGCCAGCCAGCCAGCCAGGCAACUAGCCAACGCAAGCCAUUUUAUAAUUGCCUUCGAGCCGGGCCAACAAUUUGUAUGGCUUUCAAUUAACGCUUCAGAGGCAGAAUUUUCCAACUGGCGCAGUCCUCGCUGAAAGAUGUGGCCGAAAGCAAACGCACAAAUAAAAUAUUGGCAGCAGAACAAUAAUAAACAGCCAGAAGAGUAAUAAAAACACAAGUUGAAAUUGAUAGAUGCGAAGAUGGCGAGCCGCAAAAAAAAACAACGUGUACUACAACAAAAUUAGAAAUCAUCAGAAAAACGCACAAAAUAAUCAUCAAGUCAACGACUGCAAAUGUUCCGUAUAUUCAAAUGCUUGCCUGGCAUGCACUAAAUCUUAUUUCACAUGCAACUGAACGAAUCAAAUGGCAGCCUUCAAUGCAAAUGAAAAUUGUUGCGACUGUCGUUGGAAUGGGGUGUGCGGCAUGGGAAAAGGGGUGAAAGACGGGGUACCAGAUAGAUAGGAGUGCUGUGGCUUGGCGCCUAUUUGGCGGUUGCCUAAAAUUAGGUAAGGCCAUUAUGAAAUUAUGAAAAUUAGAAUUGAAAUGAGCGAACAUGACGUGACGUAAAAUGGAGAAGCUGGCAGAAUGAAAUUACAUUAUAAUUUAUGUGUACGUGCUUUCUAUGGCAAAACGCUUUCACGUGUGUGGUCUGAACAGCUGCAGCUAAAGCAGAGUGAAAGUUCAUGUAGUUAUUUAUCUAAUAGAUAACCCAUCAAAUGGCAAACAAUAAAAUUGUGAAAUUUAAUCAAAUUUAUUACCCACGAGCUGAAGACAAAGGCUUAAUAGCCAUGCAGGCAUACUGACUAACAUAAAACCCUAAACUAGCCGUAAUCAGUAACGAAAUCAGGCAACUUGACAAAAGUAAAACUCUAAACUAGGUAUAAUGUGACGCAGAAUCUGUGACAUUGAGGAACAAUCCUCAAAACAAUAAUAAUAAUAAUAAUAAACUCUAAUCCCAGUACAAAUUUGUAUAGUGGAAAAUUUAAACAGAAAGCUGCUUAAUAAAAUAUAUUUUAUUCUAUUAAAUAAAUCGUUUAAAUAUA